AGAGUUUGAUCAUGGCUCAGAUUGAACGCUGGCGGCAGGCUUAACACAUGCAAGUCGAGCGGAGAUGAGGUGCUUGCACCUUAUCUUAGCGGCGGACGGGUGAGUAAUGCUUAGGAAUCUGCCUAUUAGUGGGGGACAACAUUCCGAAAGGAAUGCUAAUACCGCAUACGUCCUACGGGAGAAAGCAGGGGAUCUUCGGACCUUGCGCUAAUAGAUGAGCCUAAGUCGGAUUAGCUAGUUGGUGGGGUAAAGGCCUACCAAGGCGACGAUCUGUAGCGGGUCUGAGAGGAUGAUCCGCCACACUGGGACUGAGACACGGCCCAGACUCCUACGGGAGGCAGCAGUGGGGAAUAUUGGACAAUGGGGGGAACCCUGAUCCAGCCAUGCCGCGUGUGUGAAGAAGGCCUUAUGGUUGUAAAGCACUUUAAGCGAGGAGGAGGCUACUGAGACUAAUACUCUUGGAUAGUGGACGUUACUCGCAGAAUAAGCACCGGCUAACUCUGUGCCAGCAGCCGCGGUAAUACAGAGGGUGCGAGCGUUAAUCGGAUUUACUGGGCGUAAAGCGUGCGUAGGCGGCUUUUUAAGUCGGAUGUGAAAUCCCCGAGCUUAACUUGGGAAUUGCAUUCGAUACUGGGAAGCUAGAGUAUGGGAGAGGAUGGUAGAAUUCCAGGUGUAGCGGUGAAAUGCGUAGAGAUCUGGAGGAAUACCGAUGGCGAAGGCAGCCAUCUGGCCUAAUACUGACGCUGAGGUACGAAAGCAUGGGGAGCAAACAGGAUUAGAUACCCUGGUAGUCCAUGCCGUAAACGAUGUCUACUAGCCGUUGGGGCCUUUGAGGCUUUAGUGGCGCAGCUAACGCGAUAAAUAGACCG
rnacentral:rRNA from 1 species